CCUACGGGGCGCAGCAGUGAGGAAUAUUGGUCAAUGGACGCAAGUCUGAACCAGCCAUGCCGCGUGCAGGAAGACGGCUCUAUGAGUUGUAAACUGCUUUUGUACGAGGGUAAACGCAGAUACGCGUAUCAGUCUGAAAGGAUCGUACGAAUAAGGCACGGCUAACUCCGGGCCAGCAGCCGCGGUAAUAAGGAGAAUUCAAGCGUUAUCCGGAUUUAUUGGGGUUAAAGGGUGCGUAGGGGGUCGGAUAAGUGAGAGGUGAAAUACCGAGGCUCAACUUCGGAAUUGCCUCUGAUACUGUUCGGCUAGAGAGUAGUUGCGGUAGGCGGAAUGUAUGGUGUAGCGGUGAAAUGCUUAGAGAUCAUACAGAACACCGAUUGCGAAGGCAGCUUGCCAAGCUACUUCUGACGUUGAGGCACGAAAGCGUGGGGAGCAAACAGGAUUAGAUACCCUUGUAGUC
rnacentral:rRNA from 1 species